CAGAUUUGUUUGUGGAAGACAGAACAGAACUUUCAAUAGUCUCAGUGGCCAUUGCUUAGGAUGUUCUAGUAUCCGUCCCACUUGAAGGGACAAAAAAGGAUGAAGAGCAUCACGGAUCAUGUAAUACCAGAAGUUACCUGGACAAAGUAUCAAUACAGGAGGCUUAGAGUCUUUGGUGACUGGAAUCAGGCAAAAGAAAUGGAUCAACGUGCAGCUGAAAAUGAAUCUCACGGCUUGAAGACAACUCAUGAAACAAGGAAGAAGAGGUUGGCGAGAAAACCUGUAAUAUAACUUCCCAGUUCUUUUCUCCUUGGAAAUAGCAAAAGAACACAUUCUUCAUCAUACAACGAGAAUUCAAGAGCCAUUAAUCCAAUUUCUCCAGUGAUUUUGAAACAAAAAAGAUCAUCUAAUAACUUAGAAAAUGAACUACAACAACAAAUAAACCACAGAACCCAGUUUACUUGACUCCUCUCCUUUUUCCAAUGGCGACGAAGAAUCCAUUGCUCUUCAUCACCCAUUUACAGAGUAUCAUCCCACUCAGCGUGUAUAGAUGACAUCUUAGGCGAGAACAGUCUUUUUCAUUCACAUAAAAGUAGCAUUUACAGUAAACUAAAUUUGUUUGUAAUAUGUAAAUCAAUCGACAACGACAGGUUACUUGUCAUUAUAAACAUGUUGAAUUCCCCUUCGUCAACAAAGUAAUUGUUAUCUCAAUACGCAACUGUUGUGUUCAAUUCUGACUUGUUGUUAUCUUGUAUGUCAUUUGUUAACUAAUAUGUCAUGUGUUCUAAUGGACAAUAUAAUCAAGUUAAGUGCA